CCUGGGCCUCGGCGGCGACGAGCGCCGCGCGAAAUUCCUCGCCCGGCUGUUGGGUCAAGGGCGAGGCCGCGCACCGCCACAGCCGACGCGCCCACGCAAGGGCCUCGCUAUAUGGGUCAGCGGCAUUGGCAAAGGCGUCGGGCCAGCGCGCGAUGAGCGUGGCAGUGAUGGUAUCAGCGUCGGCCGGCACAAAGCGCGCGGCGCGCACGUCGGGGUCGCCGGGUCCGCUCACGGUGCGUCCGGCGGCAUCGACAAACUCAAAGUGUCCGAGGAUUUCGCCCACGCGGCGCAAGAACGUCGCCCGCGACCAGAGACUCUGGCGCUCGGCAGCCGACAGCGUGGCCGUGAUGGCGCCACUGAGGCCCAAGGCGCCAUAGAGGGCGUCGCAGUCUGUUUGCGUAGGCGCGGGAACACUGCCGUCGGCCGCGAGGACCCACGCCGGUAUGGCGUCGGCGCGGGACAUGUAGUCGACGAGCGCGUCGGCGACGAUGCGCGCGAUCGUGGGCUCUUCGGGUUGUGCCGGACGCGCCGGCGAUCGCGGCACGCCCGACAGCAGCGGCCGACGAUACAAGGGUGAGCGACGCAUCUGUGUGUAUCGUGUGCGUAUCGUGGAUGGGGCCGCGGACAAGGGCAGAGCCUAGAGAUGGCCCGCGUGUUGUUAUUGUUGGUGCGGUGGUCUUUUUUCUUUUUUUUCCAAAAAAAAAGAAAUCUCUAUGAGACAC
rnacentral:lncRNA from 1 species